AGGGAGUCUCCUAACCCAGUUGUAAGGCAAGAGGAAUUACCAGACAGGAGAGCUGAGUGGAAGAGAAGGAGUACCCGUCGCCGGUGAGGAGUCCCCUUGUGACAUGCUGUAACAAGUAGCAGGGCUCCAAAAUGUGUUCCUGAGGAGAUAGCUAAGCAACAACUAUACCUUCUCCUUUUUGUGUUAGUGUUCUUUUCUGUCCUUUUAGACUGAAUCAUUGUUCAUUUUUAUGAAUGUUAAGCAAAAGUCCUUAUUACCUGAAUAGCAGUAUCUGAUCAAUGAACAGAAUAUCAAUCUAUGGGUUUGAUGUGUGUAAAUUGAAAGAAGUUUUUGCUGUUGAGAGAAUUGUGAUCAAACCUGGUGAACAGGCUUAUCAAUUGAUGUCAUCUUCGCCAUGUUGGAUUACAGCCUACGUCUGUUAACCACACGAAGAUGCUACCUGACAACAUGGUCGUUGGGAGAUAAGUAUCAGUAUUACGUCAAUGAAAAGCCUGUAUAGUAUCAUUGUCAGCAAUACUAGAAGCUUGGCAGUAACACUUCUGAUAUAUAUACGACCAGUACUACAGCAGGCUUUUAGGCAUCCUGAAAUGAGACUUUAUUUAAAGGCAUUUAGUUUAUCAGUUUAUAAAUGCAGGAUGCAUGAUGAGCAAGCUUCUUUUUUCAUGUUUCAGACUUAUAUCUGCUUUUUGGAGUUUUCAACUACUAAAAGAGUAACCACUUUAAAAGUAUAUUACAUUCUGCUUUUAUUGCUGUUCAGUUUUGAUAGCUGUUGUGGAUUUAGCUAGUACUUGGUUAAAUAGUACAUAUAUUAUAUGUUUUUACUAUUAUGUUAAGUUGGAGCUUACUUUUUCUACACGUUACUGUUUAACUUUUUGAGUUAAACAAAUAGUGUAACAUCAAUUAGGUGCUUGAAGCUAAGACUAGUACAUAUUUCUAUCAUUAUAUAACUAGAUUGUGCUUCAUAAUAUUUACUAAUGAAUAAAAGAGUUCUCUAUGACGUAUAUUCUAUGGCUCACAAAAUUUCAUAGCUUAGUAUUAACAUCUUAUUUUAAAUCACUUAGUAAGUGACUUUUAACAGGUUGCUUCCUACAUGUAGUAUCUCUGAUCAUUUGUAAAUUUGGCUUUUAUUGGAUUGGAAAAUGAUCAUGAGAGCAUCUUUCUAGUCAUGUUUCUAGUGUCACUAUUAAAAAGAGUAAUCGAUGCAAGACAGUCGAUAAUCUAGAUGUUAGUAACUGUAUUCUUAAUUAUGUUCCCUUGCACUGAAUUAAACUUUCUUGUAAACAA